ensembl:lncRNA
CAGUAGCACAACGACUAACCCAGUAGCACAACAGCUAACCCAGUAGCACAACAGUUAACCCAGUAGCACAAAGGCUAACCCGGUAGCACAUCAGUUAACCCAGUAGCACAACAGUUAACCCGGUAGCACAACGACUAACCCAGUAGCACAACAGUUAACCCAGUAGCACAACGACUAACCCAGUAGCACAACAGUUAACCCAGUAGCACAACGACUAACCCAGUAGCACAACAGUUAACCCAGUAGCACAAAGGCUAACCCGGUAGCACAAAGCCUAACCCAGUAGCGCGUAUGAUAACCCAGUAGCACAUCAGUUAACCCAGUAGCACAUGGGCUAACCCAGUAGCGCGUAUGAUAACCCAGUAGCACAGCGAAUAACCCAGUAGCACAUUGUUUACAACAACAAGCUCCUGUGUCAACAAGGCCUCUCACGUUUGGAAAAAAACACAGUAGAAAAAGUCUCUAACUGACACUU